AAGUCGUAACAAGGUUUCCGUAGGUGAACCUGCGGAAGGAUCAUUACCGCUUGCUCAACGGCUCCGCCCUUCGGGGUGGUAACCGCGGCAUGCAACCCUUGCCUAUAUAUACCUUUUGUUAUUCCCUUGGUGGGGAGACCUGCCACUGGGACCAAACCAAACCUUUUUUUACAAGCAUUCAAACUCAGAAACACAAAACAAUUACAACUUUCAACAAUGGAUCUCUUGGUUCUG
rnacentral:misc_RNA from 1 species